rnacentral:rRNA from 1 species
UACGUACCGUCCAAACGUUAUCCGGAAUCACUGGGCUUAAAGAGUUCGUAGGCGGCUCAGAAAGUUGGGUGUGAAAUCCCUCGGCUCAACCGAGGAAUUGCGCUCAAAACUACUGAGCUAGAGGGAGAUAGAGGUGAGCGGAACUGAUGGUGGAGCGGUGGAAAUGCGUUGAUAUCAUCAGGAACACCGGAGGCGAAGGCGGCUCACUGGGUCUUUCCUGACGCUGAGGAACGAAAGCUAGGGGAGCGAACGGGAGUUAAG